ACGGGUGAGUAAUGUCUGGGAAACUGCCUGAUGGAGGGGGAUAACUACUGGAAGCGGUAGCUAAUACCGCAUAACGUCGCAAGACCAAAGAGGGGGACCUUCGGGCCUCUUGCCAUCGGAUGUGCCCAGAUGGGAUUAGCUUGUUGGUGGGGUAACGGCUCACCAAGGCGACGAUCCCUAGCUGGUCUGAGAGGAUGACCAGCCACACUGGAACUGAGACACGGUCCAGACUCCUACGGGAGGCAGCAGUGGGGAAUAUUGCACAAUGGGCGCAAGCCUGAUGCAGCCAUGCCGCGUGUAUGAAGAAGGCCUUCGGGUUGUAAAGUACUUUCAGCGGGGAGGAAGGGAGUAAAGUUAAUACCUUUGCUCAUUGACGUUACCCGCAGAAGAAGCACCGGCUAACUCCGUGCCAGCAGCCGCGGUAAUACGGAGGGUGCAAGCGUUAAUCGGAAUUACCGGGCGUAAAGCGCACGCAGGCGGUUUGUUAAGUCAGAUGUGAAAUCCCCGGGCUCAACCUGGGAACUGCAUCUGAUACUGGCAAGCUUGAGUCUCGUAGAGGGGGGUAGAAUUCCAGGUGUAGCAGUGAAAUGCGUAGAGAUCUGGAGGAAUACCGGUGGCGAAGGCGGCCCCCUGGACGAAGACUGACGCUCAGGUGCGA
rnacentral:rRNA from 1 species